CAGGAUAAAAACAUAAUAUAUCUUAUUAUAACUUUAUAAAUAUAUAUUGAUAAAUCUCAAGAGGAACUCUGCAUCUCAUAAUGUAAUUGCCCAAGGAAAAAAUCAUUUAAAGAAACAGUACAUAAUCUAACCAAAUUAUUUUCCAAACUAUUAAAUUCCAAAUCCAAUUAUUGGCUAAAUUAUGGCUAAUAUGUUUGAUAGAUGUUUAGAAAUUUUAGGUCUAGGAUUAGUGAGCAUCUCUGAGACAAUCGAGGUGAAGUUUAAAUAACUUGGGUUACUCAAUAUUUUUUUUUUAUCUUGCAAUGGAAGAAAAAUACAAUACAUCAUGUUUUAAGGGAUCCAAAUAUGUCUUUACAACCAAUGGUGUGGUGAAAUAUUUAAUAUACUUGAUUGUUAAGAGGUUACAUUGAUUUUUUCCAUCUGCAUUUAUGCAUGCACAUAUACAACUACAUACAAACAGACACAUAUACUUACAUACACAGGUAUUAGACUUGUUCAAUGUGAAAAUAAAAUCCAGUUUUUGGAGAAAAAAAUAGUUUAGGCAAUUCAGGUUUCGUUAAUGUGGUGUUUUGGUUCAGACAAAUUUUGUCCUUGAAUCUGAAAAAAUGCACCUAUUAGUGUACUGCAAAAUAUAUACAACAUAUAAAUAUUUAUAUAUUUUUGCAGAACACUGAUAGGUGCAUUUUAACGCAAAUUGGUUCACAGAUCAAGUGAGAAGGUUUAGUAAAAGAGGGAAAAAUAAGAGAAGUAAAAAAUCUGUAUAUAUUUAUAUAUUAUAAGUAUAUCACAUGCAGGGCCGGAUUAAGAGCCCAGUGGGCCUGGUGCUGACAUCUUAUCGACCAAAAACACUAAAACAAUCAUACCUCCCAAGCGUCAUGUAUCUGAUGGAGAUGGUGCUGGAGGGAAACUCAUAGGAUGCAGCUAUAAGAAAACAUAUACUCUAUGCUAAUCUCUCUCUAAUUUAUGCUUUCAUCUUUCAAGUAAAUCCAUAACCCCUAACAGCAGUGUCCAGUGAAGCAGAAAGUCAAUGGGCAGGGUAAAAGGGUGUGCCACUGGCGCAAAUCACGUGACAAGACCUGCCAAAAGGGGUGAACAUGCCCAAAAACAGGGCAUUUUUGUCCAAAGAAUUGGAAGGUCAGCCUGGCAUGAAUGCAUGUCAGGCUGCCUGCCAAUCCUGCAGGCUGUCCAACUAAGGGCAUACUACGCAGGCAGCACCUUGAGCUUGACAUAAAUGCGUCUAGUGAUGUGCUCACUCCAUUCUUUCUAAGGACUGUCCCAUAGCACUCGCUGGUCCACUUGUCUCCUUACCUUCUUACUAGCAGGCAGAAGUUCCUGGUAUAUAGUCUGAGACAGAGAAAAGGUGUCUGUAGUGAGUGUAGAAGGAAGGGGACAUGCCACAGUGUUAGAGAGACCAACGUCUGCAUUACCUAAACUAACUUUAAAGGACCACUAUAGUGCCAGGAAAACAUACUCGCCCGGCUCUGGGGUUAAACUUACCUUUAUUCCAGUGCCGGGCGGGGAGCUCUCCGCCUCCGAUCCUCCCUUUUGGCUGAAUGCGCACGCGCGGCAAGAGCUGCGCACGCAUUCAGCCGGUCUCAUAGGAAAGCAUUCAUAAUGCUUCCUAUGGACGCUUGCAUCUUCUCACUGUGAUUUUCACAGUGAGAAGCACGCAAACGCCUCUAGCGGCUGUCAAUGAGACAGCCACUAGAGGAUUUGGAGGCUGGAUUAACCCUAACAUAAACAUAGCAGUUUCUCUGAAACUGCUAUGUUUAUUAAAAAAA
rnacentral:lncRNA from 1 species